AACGAACGCUGGCGGCAUGCCUAACACAUGCAAGUCGAACGAGACCUUCGGGUCUAGUGGCGCACGGGUGCGUAACGCGUGGUAACCUGCCCUUAGGUUCGGAAUAACUCCCCGAAAGGGGUGCUAAUACCGGAUAAUGUCUUCGGACCAAAGAUUUAUCGCCUUUGGAUGGGCCCGCGUUGGAUUAGCUAGUUGGUAGGGUAAAAGCCUACCAAGGCGACGAUCCAUAGCUGGUCUGAGAGGAUGAUCAGCCACACUGGGACUGAGACACGGCCCAGACUCGUACGGGAGGCAGCAGUGGGGAAUAUUGGACAAUGGGCGAAAGCCUGAUCCAGCAAUGCCGCGUGAGUGAUGAAGGCCUUAGGGUUGUAAAGCUCUUUUACCCGGGAUGAUAAUGACAGUACCGGGAGAAUAAGCUCCGGCUAACUCCGUG
rnacentral:rRNA from 1 species